rnacentral:rRNA from 1 species
UACGUAGGGUGCAAGCGUUGUCCGGAAGUAUUGGGCGUAAAGAGGUCGUAGGCGGUCUGUCGCGUCGGAUGUGAAAAUCCAGGGCUCAACCCUGGACCUGCAUUCGAUACGGGCAGACUAGAGUUCGGUAGGGGAGACUGGAAUUCCUGGUGUAGCGGUGAAAUGCGCAGAUAUCAGGAGGAACACCGGUGGCGAAGGCGGGUCUCUGGGCCGAAACUGACGCUGAGGAGCGAAAGCGUGGGGAGCAAACAGG